rnacentral:rRNA from 1 species
CAUUUAAAGUGGUACGCGAGCUGGGUUCAGAACGUCGUGAGACAGUUCGGUCCCUAUCUGCCGUGGGCGUUGGAUGAUUGAGGGGAGUUGCUCCUAGUACGAGAGGACCGGAGUGAACGAACCGCUGGUGUUCGGGUUGUCAUGCCAAUGGCAUUGCCCGGUAGCUAUGUUCGGAAUCGAUAACCGCUGAAAGCAUCUAAGCGGGAAGCGAGCCCCAAGAUGAGUCAUCCCUUGGACUAUAAGUCCACUAAAGAGCCGUUCGAGACUAGGACGUUGAUAGGUCAGGUGUGUAAGCGUUGUGAGGCGUUGAGCUAACUGAUACUAAUGACUCGAGAGGCUUAACCAUACAACCCAGAUGGGUUUUG